rnacentral:piRNA from 1 species
UAAAGGUGACUGAGACUUUCUCU